UACGAAGGGGGCUAGCGUUGUUCGGAAUUACUGGGCGUAAAGCGUGCGCAGGCGGCUUCUCAAGUCAGGGGUGAAAGCCCAGAGCUCAACUCUGGAAUUGCCUUUGAGACUGAGAGGCUUGAGUACGGGAGAGGUGAGUGGAAUUCCCAGUGUAGAGGUGAAAUUCGUAGAUAUUGGGAAGAACACCAGUGGCGAAGGCGGCUCACUGGACCGUAACUGACGCUCAUGCACGACAGCG
rnacentral:rRNA from 1 species